rnacentral:lncRNA from 1 species
UUUACCCUCCCUUGAGGGGUUUCCACGUUAAUUGUUUGUGUUCUUUACUUUCGUGCUUGUUAUUGUGUUUGAUUAACGUCAAUCUAUAGUGGAUGCGAUCCUAACAAACUGGUAUCAAGAGCUCAGGUUCGAGGAGUAGAUUCGACGUUAAAGAGGAGGCAAUCACGAAGUAGGCUGUUUGUGUUGUUAGUUGGUCUUGAGUUGAUUUUUU